CAGCAGCCGCGGUAAUACGUAGGUCCCGAGCGUUGUCCGGAUUUAUUGGGCGUAAAGCGAGCGCAGGCGGUUAGAUAAGUCUGAAGUUAAAGGCUGUGGCUUAACCAUAGUACGCUUUGGAAACUGUUUAACUUGAGUGCAAGAGGGGAGAGUGGAAUUCCAUGUGUAGCGGUGAAAUGCGUAGAUAUAUGGAGGAACACCGGUGGCGAAAGCGGCUCUCUGGUCUGUAACUGACGCUGAGGCUCGAAAGCGUGGGGAGCAAACAGGAUUAGAUACCCGUGUAGUCCCUGUCUCUUAUACC
rnacentral:rRNA from 1 species